GACGAACGCUGGCGGCGUGCUUAACACAUGCAAGUCGAACGGAAAGGCCCUGCUUUUGUGGGGUGCUCGAGUGGCGAACGGGUGAGUAACACGUGAGUAACAUGCCCUUGACUUUGGGAUAAAUUCAGGAAAAUGGGGCUAAUACCGGAUAGGAGCUACUGCUGCAUGGUGGGGGUUGGAAAGUUUCGGCGGUUGGGGAUAGACUCGCGGCUUAUCCGCUUGUUGGUGGGGUAGUGGCUUACCAAGGUUUUGACGGGUAGCCGGCCUGAGAGGGUGACCGGCCACAGUGGGACUGAGAUACGGCCCAGACUCCUACGGGAGGCAGCAGUGGGGAAUAUUGCACAAUGGGCGGAAGCCUGAUGCAGCAACGCCGCGUGCGGGAUGACGGCCUUCGGGUUGUAAACCGCUUUCGCCUGUGACGAAGCGUGAGUGACGGUAAUGGGUAAAGAAGCACCGGCUAACUACGUG
rnacentral:rRNA from 1 species